rnacentral:lncRNA from 1 species
GCAUAGACCUGUACGGCUGCACUAGGAUCACCAAGCGCGGCCUGGAGCGCAUCACGCAGCUGCCCUGCCUCAAGAGUCCGCCGCAUCACGCAGCUGCCCUGCCUCAAGAGUCUGCCACAGCAACAUGAGAGACCAUCGCUUCCCUACAGACUUGUUUUAAAGUGCUGAAAGAAAGGGAGAAAACUAAGUCAAAAUUCAAACAAACAAUUCAGCGCAACUGAAUUGCAUUUCAAAGACUUCUAGGAUCGCACUUACACAAAACUAACUCC